rnacentral:rRNA from 1 species
CCUACGGGAGGCAGCAGUGAGGAAUAUUGGUCAAUGGGCUUACGCCUGAACCAGCCAAGUCGCGUGAGGGAGGACUGCUCUCUGGGUUGUAAACCUCUUUUGUCAGGGAGCAACGCCGGCUACGUGUAGCCGGACUGAGAGUACCUGAAGAAAAAGCAUCGGCUAUCUCCGUGCCAGCGCCGGCGGUAAUACGGGGGACGCAGGCGUUAUCCGUCUUUAUUGGGUUUAAAGGUUGCGUAAGCGGAAUGCCAAGUCAGCGGUAAAAUCGCGGGGCUAAACCUCGAUCCGCCGUUGAAACUGGCGUUCUUGAGUGGGCGAGAGGUAUGCGGAAUGCGUGGUGUAGCGGUGAAAUGCGUAGAUAGCACGCAGAACUCCGGUGGCGAAGGCAGCAUACCGGCGCCCAACUGACGCUGAGGCACGAAAGCGUGGGUAUCGAACAGGAUUAGAUACCCUGGUAGUC